rnacentral:rRNA from 1 species
UGGGGAAUAUUGGACAAUGGGCGAAAGCCUGAUCCAGCAAUGCCGCGUGUGUGAAGAAGGCCUUCGGGUUGUAAAGCACUUUCGGUGGGGAAGAAAUCCUCAAGACUAAUAUUCUUGAGUGUUGACGUUACCCACAGAAGAAGCACUGGCUAACUCUGUGCCAGCAGCCGCGGUAAUACAGAGAGUGCAAGCGUUAAUCGGAAUCACUGGGCGUAAAGAGCAUGUAGGUGGAUAUUUAAGUCGGAUGUGAAAUCCCUGGGCUUAACCUAGGAAUUGCAUUCGAUACUGGGUAUCUUGAGUAUGGUAGAGGGAAGUGGAAUUUCCGGUGUAGCGGUGAAAUGCGUAGAUAUCGGAAGGAACACCAGUGGCGAAGGCGGCUUCCUGGACCAAUACUGACACUAAAGUGCGAAAGCGUGGGUAGCAAACAGGAUUAGAUACCCCCGUAGUCC